CACGGGACCUGGCCGAGAAGCUGCUCGAGGCUGGGACAGGGCCCGGGGCUGAGUCUGGCAGCUCGUGGCCUCCGAGGUCACACAGACACUCGGGCCGCAAGCAAAGGAGAGCACAGAGCAGAUGCUCCCACCUUGUCUCUCCUGGGCCUCGGCCUGGGCGGGCGGACCUCAGCUCCUGCGCCAGCCACUCAGGGGAACUCACCCACGAGGGCCAUGUCCAUGGGCAGAUCCGAGACGGUCAGCUCCACCAGGCACGGAGCCCACCAGACUCAGAGCCCACGGGGCAUGGAGCCCACCAGACUCGGAGCCCACCAGACAUGGAACCCACCAGAUGUGGAGCCCACCAGGCAUGGAGCCCACCAGACACGGAGCCCACCAGGCACGGAGCCCACCAGACAUGGCACCCACCAGACUUGGAGCCCACCAGGCAUGGAGCCCACCAGGCAUGGAGCCCACCAGACACGGAGCCCACCAGGCACGGAGCCCACCAGAUUUGGAGCCCACCAGACGUGGAGCCCACCAGGCAUGGAGUCCACCAGACCUGGAGCCCACCAGGCACUGAGCCCACCAGGCACGGAGCCUGGAGCCCACCAGACUUGGAGCCCACCAGACACAGAGCCCACCAGACACAGAGCCCAGAGCCCACAGGCACGGAGCCCACCAGGCAUGGAGCCCAGAGCCCACCAGGCACAGAGCCCACCAGGCAUGGAGCCCAGAGCCCACCAGACUCGGAGCCCACCAGACUCGGAGCCCACAAGACACAGAGCCCAGAGCCCACCAGGCAUGGAGCCCACCAGGCAUGGAGCCCAGAGCCCACCAAACUCAGAGCCCACCAGGCACAGAGCCCACCAGACACAGAGCCCACCAGACUUGGAGCCUACCAGGCAUGGAGCCCACCAGGCACGGAGCCCACCAGGCAUGGAGCCCAGAGCCCACCAGACACGGAGCCCACCAGGCAUGGAGCCCACCAGACACGGAGCCCACCUGACACAGAGCCCACCAGGCACAGAGCCCGCCGUGCAUGUAUAGCCUCUGCCAUGGCAUGUGUGCUCCACAUGCAUCUUCUGGGACCAAACAAAUGAAAGGAUGAGAUCAUAAGCAACUGGGGUGAGCUGAAAUCCAGGUCAUAGGGUGCUUGCUUGUUCAGCUGUUUCAGUUCAAACUCUUUGUUAACAGGGACGGUUGCUUCGAACUUGAGGACCAUGAGAAGGAUGGAUCUUACAUCCUUGUUUCUGUGAGCAAAUAGAAAAGUCUCCAGUCAUAUUUCUGAUUUUCUUUUUCUUUCUUAUUUUUCUUCCCACCUGCAGUAUGUUUCCCAGUUUCUGCCAUCUAUGAACUCUGAUGAUUGUAUUGUUUCCUUCUGUAAUUAUUUGCGGGUGAAAUAUUUUAUUAGCUGUUUGUAGAGUGUAUUUAACAUAAAUGUGUCUCAAGAUAUAAAAGCCAAUUGGUGGACACAGAAAAAUUUUUUGAAGAGACCUUAAGAUAUUUUAAAUAAAUUAAAGAUAUUUAUUACCA
rnacentral:lncRNA from 1 species